rnacentral:lncRNA from 1 species
CAGUUUCAUUAACUCAGGGAGGAAGCAGGUGAAAGAAAUGUAUGCAAAUCCCUGUCUCAAUAGUCUAAGGCUCUGUACCUUUUGAUAAAGGCAGCCCGCCCGGGAAAGACACAGACUAGCAAGUUUUGAGGACCCCGUUUAACAUUUGAGCUACCUCUCUUCCCACCUCUUCAAAGCCUUUUCUGAGGAUAAGAUAAGAGCGUAAUCCCUUAGUUGGGUACAGAUAUUUAAGACUUUUGUUUCUAAAAUCCAAUUUGAAUGAGCCUUGAACUUUAAAGCUGUUUGGUCUCCUGAGCAGAAGGCACCCACCCGUGAGGCAGUAUGGGAUGUGGGUGCAGGAGCGCCACCCAGAGGCCGACGUCCUCCCGGCAGAAGCUCCUCUGCUGGUCUCCUCCACAGUGGUCCUGGCUCCCCUCCUGGGGCCCAGGAGCCCACAUCAGCAGCCCUGUUGUUCAAGGUGCAGGGCCAGGGGAGCCACUGUCCUGGAGGCCUGUCCCAGGGUCUGCACUAGGUGGCUGCUGGUCACACAGGCAGGCGGGCUCUGUCUGCCCUCCCCAGGCCUUGCACGGCAGACCUCCAGCCCCUGGGCUCCAGGACACUUGCUGAGCACCCGCUGGGAGUGCAUGUGAGGCUGUGGGUAUGGACACACAGGUCAGAGCACCACCAGGGCCACAGGGUGAGCCGUCGGGCCUCAGAGUCCCCAAAGCAGAGAGGACAGAAUUGGGCUGAGCAGAGGCAGAGACCUGCCGGGAGCACCAGGUGCAGG